CGCCCAUCAGCUAGCCACCCCCACUAAAAACAACAAACCCCCAUCAAUACCCCCUAAAGCACUUAAAUCAACUAAACAAACCAUUUUUCCCCCCGAGUAUGGGCGACAGAAAAGGAACUACUGCGCCAUAGAAAAAGUACCGCAAGGGAACGCUGAAAGAGAAAUGAAACAACCCAGUAAAGCCCAAAAAAGCAAAGAUCUAAACUCGUACCUUUUGCAUCAUGAUUUAGCUAGAAAACCUCAAGCAAAGAGCACUUUAGUUUGAUUCCCCGAAACUACGUGAGCUACUCCAAGACAGCCUAACAACUAGGGCAAACCCGUCUCUGUGGCAAAAGAGUGGGAAGAUCUUUGAGUAGAGGUGACAGACCUAUCGAACCUAGUUAUAGCUGGUUGCCUGGGAAAUGAAUAGAAGUUCAGCCUCUCGGAUUCUCCCCUCACUCCACCCACCCCCUCCGACAACUAAAAGAAACCGAAAGAGUUAGUCGAAGGGGGUACAGCCCCUUUGACACAAGAUACAACUUUCCCAGAAGGGUAAAGAUCAUAUCCAGCACCAAGGUAAAAUGUUUAGGUGGGCCCAAAAGCAGCCACCCCAUAGAAUGCGUUAAAGCUCAGACAUGACUACCACCCCCAAUCCUGACAAUCUUAUCUUAACCCCCUAACCCUACCAGGCCAUUCCAUGCAGACAUGGAAGUGACCAUGCUAAUAUGAGUAAUAAGAGAGUAUAAACCUCUCUCCUUGCACAAGUGUAACUCGGAACGGACCACCCACCGAACAUUAACGACCCCAAACAAAGAGGGCUUUGAACAACAGACCCGUCAACUAGAAAACACUCAAUAAACUAAUCGUUAAACCCACACUGGUGUGCCUUCAAGGAAAGACUAAAAGAAAGAGAAGGAACUCGGCAAACACAUGAAGCCUCGCCUGUUUCCAAAAACAUCGCCUCUUGCAAAAUUAAUGAAUAAGAGGUCCUGCCUGCCCUGUGACCAUGAGUUCAACGGCCGCGGUAUUUUGACCGUGCAAAGGUAGCGCAAUCACUUGUCUUUUAAAUAAAGACCCGUAUGAAUGGCAAGACGAGGGCUUAGCUGUCUCCUUUUUCAGGUCAAUGAAAUUGAUCUUUCCGUGCAGAAGCGGGAAUAUUUUCAUAAGACGAGAAGACCCUAUGAAGCUUUAGACACCAAGACAGAUCACGUCAAGGCCCCCUAAUAAAGGACUAAAACUAACUGAGCCCUGUCCUAAUGUCUUUGGUUGGGGCGACCACGGGGAACUACAAAACCCCGCGUGGAACGAAAGCACCACCCCGCUUUUACAACUAAGAGCCUCUGCUCUAAUAAACAGAAUAUCUGACCAACAAGAUCCGGCAACGCCGAUCAACGAACCGAGUUACUCUAGGGAUAACAGCGCAAUCCUCUUUUAGAGUCCAUAUCGACAAGAGGGUUUACGACCUCGAUGUUGGAUCAGGACAUCCUAAUGGUGCAGCCGCUAUUAAGGGUUCGUUUGUUCAACGAUUAAAGUCCUACGUGAUCUGAGUUCAGACCGGAGCAAUCCAGGUCAGUUUCUAUCUAUGCCAUGAUUUUUUCUAGUACGAAAGGACCGAAAAAAAGGGACCCAUGCCUUAAGUACGCCCCACCCUCACCCUAUGCAAUCAACUAAAACAGACAAGAGGACAUAUUAACCACGCCCAAGAAAACGGUUU
ensembl:Mt_rRNA